GGGACCUGAUAUCAGGCAAGACUACCCGCUGAAUUUAAGCAUAUAACUAAGCGGAGGAAAAGAAACUAACAAGGAUUCCCCUAGUAACGGCGAGUGAAGCGGGAAGAGCUCAAGCUUGAAAUCUCCGCACAAGUUUUGUGUGGCGAAUUGUAGUCUAUAGAAGCGAUGUCAGCAUAGCUGCUCUAGUCAAGUUCCUUGGAAAAGGACAGCAUGGAGGGUUAUACUCCCGUCAUUGCUGGAGCAUGCUGUGUGUACGACACGUUUUCUUUGAGUCGCGUUGUUUGGGAAUGCAGCGCAAAGUAGGUGGUAAAUUCCAUCUAAAGCUAAAUAUAAGUGCGAGAC
rnacentral:rRNA from 1 species